rnacentral:tRNA from 1 species
GUGGGUGUAGCUCAGCUGGUUAGAGCGCCUGACUGUGGAUCAGGAGGUUCGGGGGUUCAAAUCCCCUCACCCACCCCA